UGUUCAAUGGUCAAAUAAGAAAGAUGUAUCCCAGGCUGAUUCACUCGCACGAAGGGAUGGUUGGUCAGGAAGACAUGCAGGGUGGGUCCAACCACGGUCACAACAACAACGGAGACCCAUGUCUGGUGUUGACCGCCGAUCCCAAACCACGUCUGCGUUGGACCCAGGACCUCCAUGAACG